rnacentral:rRNA from 1 species
UACGUAGGGGGCAAGCGUUGUCCGGAUUUAUUGGGCGUAAAGAGCGUGUAGGCGGCCUGACAGGUCUGCUGUGAAAACUCGAGGCUCAACCUCGAGACGCCGAUGGAAACCAUGUGGCUAGAGUCCGGAAGAGGAGAGUGGAAUUCCUGGUGUAGCGGUGAAAUGCGCAGAUAUCAGGAAGAACACCUAUGGCGAAGGCAGCUCUCUGGGACGGUACUGACGCUGAGACGCGAAAGCGUGGGGAGCGAACAGG